rnacentral:rRNA from 1 species
AACGAACGCUGGCGGCAGGCUUAACACAUGCAAGUCGAACGCAUCCUUCGGGGUGAGUGGCAGACGGGUGAGUAACGCGUGGGAACGUGCCCUUCAGUUCGGGAUAACCCAGGGAAACUUGGGCUAAUACCGGAUACGUGCGAGAGCAGAAAGAUUUAUCGCUGAAGGAUCGGCCCGCGUCUGAUUAGCUAGUUGGUGGGGUAAUGGCCCACCAAGGCGACGAUCCGUAGCUGGUCUGAGAGGAUGAUCAGCCACAUUGGGACUGAGACACGGCCCAAACUCCUACGGGAGGCAGCAGUGGGGAAUAUUGGACAAUGGGCGCAAGCCUGAUCCAGCCAUGCCGCGUGAGUGAUGGAGGCCUUGGGGUUGUAAAGCUCUUUCGUCCGGGACGAUAAUGACGGUACCGGAAGAAGAAGCCCCGGCUAACCUCGUGCCAGCCGCCGCCGUAA